rnacentral:tRNA from 1 species
GACCUCGUAGCUCAAUUGGAUAGAGCAAUUCCCUUCUAAGGAAUAGGUUGCGUGUUCAAAUCACGCCGAGGUCG